GAUGAAGAACGCAGUGAAAUGCGAUACGUAAUGUGAAUUGCAGAAUUCAGUGAAUCAUCGAGUCUUUGAACGCACAUUGCGCCCCCUGGUAUUCCGAAGGGCAUGCCUGUUCGAGCGUCAUUAUCACCCCUCAAGCCCUCGGCUUGGUGUUGGACGGUUUGGUGGAGGCCCCCUCGGGGGCUCCUGCCCCUCCCAAAGACAAUGACGGCGGCCUCGUUGGACCCCCGGUACACUGAGUUCUUCACGGGACACGUAUCGGACACAUGGGUUUACGGGACACGGUCUGCCUCCCCUCAGGGAGAAUCUUUCUAAGGUUGACCUCGGAUCAGGUAGGGAUACCCGCUGAACUUAAGCAUAUCAAUAAGCGGAGGA
rnacentral:misc_RNA from 1 species